UGGGGAAUAUUGGGCAAUGGGGGGAACCCUGACCCAGCAACGCCGCGUGAAGGAAGAAGGUUUUCGGAUUGUAAACUUCUGUCCUUGGUGAAGAGGAAGAGACGGUAGCCAAGGAGGAAGCCCCGGCUAACUACGUGCCAGCAGCCGCGGUAAUACGUAGGGGGCGAGCGUUGUCCGGAAUUACUGGGUGUAAAGGGCGUGUAGGCGGGAAUGCAAGUCAGAUGUGAAAGCCCGGGGCUUAACCCCGGAUGUGCAUCUGAAACUGGGUGUCUUGAGUGCUGGAGAGGAAAGCGGAAUUCCUAGUGUAGCGGUGAAAUGCGUAGAUAUCGGGAGGAACACCAGUGGCGAAGGCGGGUAACUGGACAGAAACUGACGCUGAGGCGCGAAAGUGUGGGGAGCAAACAGG
rnacentral:rRNA from 1 species